rnacentral:rRNA from 1 species
UACGUAGGGAGCAAGCGUUGUCCGGAAUCAUUGGGCGUAAAGCGCGCGUAGGUGGCCUCAUAAGUCCGCUGUGAAAGUCCAAGGCUCAACCUUGGAAAGCCGGUGGAUACUGUGAGGCUAGAGUACGGAAGAGGCGAGUGGAAUUCCUGGUGUAGCGGUGGAAUGCGCAGAUAUCAGGAGGAACACCAAUAGCGAAGGCAGCUCGCUGGGACGUGACUGACGCUGAGACGCGAAAGCGUGGGGAGCAAACAGG